GAUGAACGCUAGCGGCAGGCCUAAUACAUGCAAGUCGGACGGGAUUCAGGAGCUUGCUUCUGAUGAGAGUGGCGCACGGGUGCGUAACACGUAUGUAACCUACCUUUAUCAGGGGGAUAGCCUCUCGAAAGAGAGAUUAAGCCCGCAUAAAAUCACAGCACAGCAUUGUGUAAUGAUCAAAUAUUUAUAGGAUAAAGAUGGGCAUGCGGAACAUUAGCUAGAUGGCGGGGUAACGGCCCACCAUGGCGACGAUGUUUAGGGGAUCUGAGAGGAUGGCCCCCCACACUGGUACUGAGACACGGACCAGACUCCUACGGGAGGCAGCAGUAAGGAAUAUUGGUCAAUGGGCGGAAGCCUGAACCAGCCAUGCCGCGUGCAGGAAGACGGCCCUACGGGUUGUAAACCGCUUUUAUACGGGAAUAAACCCAGAUACGUGUAUCUGGCUGAAUGUACUGUAAGAAUAAGGAUCGGCUAACUCCGUG
rnacentral:rRNA from 1 species